rnacentral:rRNA from 1 species
AUUGAACGCUGGCGGCAGGCCUAACACAUGCAAGUCGAGCGGAGCGGCGGACGGGUGAGUAAUGCCUAGGAAUUUGCCUGGUAGUGGGGGAUAACGUCCGGAGACGGGCGCUAAUACCGCAUACUAUCAGAUGAGCCUAGGUCGGAUUAGCUAGUUGGUGGGGUAAAGGCCUACCAAGGCGACGAUGCGUAACCGGUCUGAGAGGAUGAUCAGUCACACUGGAACUGAGACACGGUCCAGACUCCUACGGGAGGCAGCAGUGGGGAAUAUUGGACAAUGGGCGAAAGCCUGAUGCAGCCAUGCCGCGUGUGUGAAGAAGGCCUUCGGGUUGUAAAGCACUUUAAGUUGGGAGGCGUUACCAACAGAAUAAGCACCGGCUAACUUCGUGCCAGCAGCCGCGGUAAUAC